rnacentral:lncRNA from 1 species
GGGAAGGAACAGACUCAGGCGGAAAGACUUAAGGCGCUAAGGCUUGGGCGGCGGCGGGGUCCGGCGGCGGCGGUGCUCCUUGUCAACAACAAGCAAGCUCUAGCACCGUGCAGAGGAAAACAAGCAGCUGGUGGGUUGGGAAAAGCGGGUGUUGAGUGGAGAGGGGAAGUUCCUCAAGAGCUUAUGCGACAACGCUUGAGCACGAAACAGAGGAAGGUGCGGCGAGGUAAAGAUGGCGAAGGGAACUCCGGUAGAGGCUCUGGUAUUUCCUUUUAUAGCUACGCAGAAGAGAAGGAGUCUGGGCAGCGUGAGGAUCAGGUCGAAGAGGAUGGAGUGCUCUGCCGUGGCGGCGAUUGGUCGACGCCUCCAUUGGCCGGCGAAGCGGAGCUUCGGGGACAGGGUCUUCGGUCAUUGGGCACUGGAGAGAGAGCUUGUGCAGGCGCGAUUUUGCUAGAAAGAAGGAUUGGCGAGGGCGAGCGUGGGUCUGGUCGCGUCAAGCGGCGGAUUGGGGGCGACGGCUC